GACGUAGGGUCCAAGCGUUGUCCGGAUUUACUGGGCGUAAAGAGCUCGUAGGCGGUCUGUCGCGUCUGCUGUGAAAACUCAGGGCUUAACCCUGAGCUUGCAGUGGGUACGGGCAGACUAGAGUUCGGUAGGGGAGACUGGAAUUCCUGGUGUAGCGGUGAAAUGCGCAGAUAUCAGGAGGAACACCGGUGGCGAAGGCGGGUCUCUGGGCCGAUACUGACGCUGAGGAGCGAAAGCGUGGGGAGCGAACAGG
rnacentral:rRNA from 1 species